GUUAGAAGAAUCAAUAAUAGAAAUAAAAAUAUAAUAUUUAUCAUGAAUUAUCGUUAUUUUUUAUUUCUUUACUUUUAUAUAUAUUUUUAUAUAUUUUUAUAUAUAUUUUUAUUGUAAUUAAUAACAAAAAGAAUAAGAUUAGAAUAAAAACAAAAAAUAUUUAAGAAUUUUUAUUCAAAUCUUAAAAAUAUAUAAUAAAGUAAUGAAAUAUAUAGAAAUUACUUAUUUAUGGCAAAGAUACAAAAUAAGCAAUUCUAUUUUUAAGUUAUGCUUUAUCUUUGGAGCAUCUUCAAUGUUCAGUAGCAAUCUGCCAGCUUGAGUAUUAAAACUGUCAAUUAUAAUAUUUCUUGGUAAAACCACUUAUAUUAUUGUGACAUUUACAUUCUUAAAAGCAUGGAAUUCCGUGGACACACGGCCAUGAACGGCCUAGGGCACAUAGACGACGUACGGGGUGCGUGACCUAAUAUCAUCCGUUCACCGCUCUAUUGGAGCAACGCGGCGCAAGUCGAACCGAUGCGAAUUUACGCCGAGUUUACUGCUUCUCUUCUUGGAAAGGGAUCUAUCGGAGAGGGAAGCGAGGAGUGAAGAGCGAGCGUGUGAGUGAGGCGAGGUGAGGAUCGGGUAGGGAAAAGUUGGGGGUUUCCUCGUGGCUGGCAAGGCGAGCGGAGCCGAGUCAAGUCGAGCAUUGUCGACUCACGGAGACACAGCGGGGGAACUGACAACCGUCUCCGGGUAUGCUCGGCUAUUGGCAAGACGCUCGCGGGAAGGGUGUUGGCGCUUCGUCUAAACAGUGUUGCGGGGAGGUGAGGAAAAUAUAGUUGAUCAGACCGAGGGACGUGGAAGGACGCUUCGUCAGACGAGCGAGCUCAAUCCUAUGUGUGACUCACUUACUUGCGGCGGGAAUCUCCCGCUUCUCUACCGAUGGCAGCACAAUACGAAUUACUAUCAUCAUAAUUGUCUCGACAUACUUUAUUUUAUCGUUACUCUUCAAUCACGAAACUUUAUUUAUAUGAAUGAAAUUUUAAUGGAAUUACACGAACUUUAACUAAAUUCUUAUCUAAAUUAAUAUUAUCUAAAUUACUAUCUCCCAUCAUUUCAUUAAUAUGAAUGUUUUUGUAAUUUAUAAUAUGAUUAAAAAUAUAUCUUAUAUUUUUUAUAGAUGAAAAAUUAAUUCAUUAAACAUUAAACAACUAUUAUAUUCGUAAAAUUGUUUUCAUUUAUAAUUUUAGAUAUGUUAUUAUGUAUUUUAGAAAAAUAUCAUAAUUAAUAAGAAUAUUUAAAUUUCUAUUUAUAUGAUUAAAACAAAUUUAUUUGUUUGUUUUCUAUUCUACAGUAAUGUAAGAAUUUAAAUUAAAACAAUUUAUAUUACAUUAUAUAUUAAAUAUAAACAAAAUAUCUUUAAGC